GGACUACCCGCUGAACUUAAGCAUAUCAAUAAGCGGAGGAAAAGAAACUAACAAGGAUUCCCCUAGUAACGGCGAGUGAAGCGGGAUGAGCUCAAAUUUAAAAUCUUGCAGCCUCAGGUUGUACGAGUUGUAGUCUAGAGAAUCGUUUUCCGCGUUGGCCUGUGUACAAGUCCCUUGGAACAGGGCGUCAUAGAGGGUGAGAAUCCCGUCCUUGACACAGACUACCAAUGCUUUGUGAUGCGAUCUCGAAGAGUCGAGUUGUUUGGGAAUGCAGCUCAAAAUGGGUGGUAAAUUCCAUCUAAAGCUAAAUAUUGGCGAGAGACCGAUAGCGAACAAGUACCGUGAGGGAAAGAUGAAAAGCACUUUGGAAAGAGAGUUAAACAGUACGUGAAAUUGUUAAAAGGGAAACGAUUGAAGUCAGUCAUGCUCUCCGAGACUCAGCCGAUUCUGUCGGUGUACUUCUCGGUUGGCAGGCCAGCAUCAGUUUUGAUCUGUGGAAAAGGUUGGAGAGAAUGUGGCAUCCUCGGAUGUGUUAUAGCUCUUCUUCGAAUACAUAGAGCGGGACUGAGGAACGCAGCGUGCCCUUUAUUGGGUGGCCUUCGG
rnacentral:rRNA from 1 species